AAGUUGGGCCUUAGAAAAACCACA
rnacentral:piRNA from 1 species